rnacentral:rRNA from 1 species
CUACGGGGUGCUGCAGUGAGGAAUAUUGCACAAUGGGGGGAACCCUGAUGCAGCAACGCCGUGUGGAGGAUGACGCAUUUCGGUGUGUAAACUCCUUUUAUAUGUCAAGAAAAUGACGGUAGCAUAUGAAUAAGCACCGGCUAACUCCGUGCCAGCAGCCGCGGUAAUACGGAGGGUGCAAGCGUUACUCGGAAUCACUGGGCGUAAAGGACGCGUAGGCGGGUUGGAAAGUCAGGUGUGAAAUCCUACAGCUGAACUGUAGAACUGCACUUGAAACUUCUAAUCUAGAGUAUGGGAGGGGGAGAUGGAAUUAGUGGUGUAGUGGUAAAAUCCGUAGAUAUCACUAGGAAUACCUAAAGCGAAGGCGAUCUCCUGGAACAUUACUGACGCUAAGGCGUGAAAGCGUGGGGAGCAAACAGGAUUAGAUACCCCGGUAGUC